rnacentral:rRNA from 1 species
UACGGAGGGUGCAAGCGUUAUCCGGAUUCACUGGGUUUAAAGGGUGCGUAGGUGGGCAGGUAAGUCAGUGGUGAAAUCUCCGGGCUUAACCCGGAAACUGCCAUUGAUACUAUCAGUCUUGAAUACCGUGGAGGUCAGUAGAAUAUGUCAUGUAGCGGUGAAAUGCUUAGAUAUGACAUAGAAUACCAAUUGCGAAGGCAGCUGGCUACACGAAUAUUGACACUCAGGCACGAAAGCGUGGGGAUCAAACAGG